UCUUUAACUGUCUUUUUGAUGAAAUCUUUCCUUUCAGACAAGUCAUAACUGGGAUAACUUUCAUAUACCUAAAGCAAGCAAUAAAAAAGAGCUAGUGUGAGUGAGAAGUCUUACUUUUAUUUUUAGAACAUUAACUUCAUGAUUUUAGUGCAGAGGACAUGGAGUUGUAGAAUCCAAAUAGACAUUACCAUACUGGCUCAUUCUGGAGGUGUAUAUGUACUCCUGGGGGUACGCUGAAGUCUUCCAGAGGAUAUGUCAACUCAUCUAGAUAUUUGCCUAGUUUUACAACAGGUGACACGAAAAGCACUACUGAAGUCAGUACAAACUAAAAUUUCAUACAGAAAAUGACUUGUUUGUACUGCU